rnacentral:tRNA from 1 species
GGUUGUAGCUCAAUGGUAGAGCGCUUGCCUUGCACACGUGAGGCCCUGUGUUCGAUCUUCAACACCA